AUCUUGUUUCUCCAUUUCUUUGCUAGUUAUUGUUUUGGUGGGAUCAUGCCAUUGUGAAUAGUAAAAUUUCGAUCCCACUGUUGGUCGCCUCAGUAAACACAUAGAUACCUUUUACUAGCCAAGAGAUACACACAUACAUCUAGAUUGGGCCGGCUUACUAGCCUGCCCCGUUCCCCCUCUGAUGGGGGACACUUGCGGCUGACCAAAAUCUUCAUCUGUUUGUUUCUUGUCAAAAAUGAGACCACAUAAUCCCAUCCGUGAAAUGAUUAAAAAAAAAAAGAUGAAGACAAAAAAAUGAAAACCAAGUCAACAUUUAAGAUCAAUCAAACUAAAAACUUCAAAUGGACGAGAAAAAUGAGGGGAAGAUCAUAAAAAGCAGGUAAAGUAUAAUCUAUCUAUACAUAUGUUACCAUACGGUCGAGAUAGAUUCAGGUUUUUUAUAUCUACUUAGUUAUAGCUCACUUGAAUUUGGCUGAUUUUUUUGAGUAGUAUUUUCACGGAGCUCUGUGACGGUCAACUCGACUUCAAACGUUCGAAAU